UGGGGAAUAUUGGACAAUGGGCGAAAGCCUGAUCCAGCCAUGCCGCGUGUGUGAAGAAGGCCUUUUGGUUGUAAAGCACUUUAAGCGAGGAGGAGGCUACUUAGAUUAAUACUCUAGGAUAGUGGACGUUACUCGCAGAAUAAGCACCGGCUAACUCUGUGCCAGCAGCCGCGGUAAUACAGAGGGUGCGAGCGUUAAUCGGAUUUACUGGGCGUAAAGCGUGCGUAGGCGGCUUCUUAAGUCGGAUGUGAAAUCCCUGAGCUUAACUUAGGAAUUGCAUUCGAUACUGGGAAGCUAGAGUAUGGGAGAGGAUGGUAGAAUUCCAGGUGUGGCGGUGAAAUGCGUAGAGAUCUGGAGGAAUACCGAUGGCGAAGGCAGCCAUCUGGCCUAAUACUGACGCUGAGGUACGAAAGCAUGGGGAGCAAACAGG
rnacentral:rRNA from 1 species